AGUGAACGCUGGCGGUAGGCCUAACACAUGCAAGUCGAACGGCAGCACAGUAAGAGCUUGCUCUUACGGGUGGCGAGUGGCGGACGGGUGAGGAAUACAUCGGAAUCUACUUUUUCGUGGGGGAUAACGUAGGGAAACUUACGCUAAUACCGCAUACGACCUACGGGUGAAAGCAGGGGAUCUUCGGACCUUGCGCGUUUGAAUGAGCCGAUGUCGGAUUAGCUAGUUGGCGGGGUAAAGGCCCACCAAGUCGACGAUCCGUAGCUGGUCUGAUAGGAUGAUCAGCCACACUGGAACUGAGAAACGGUCCAGAAUACUACGGGAGGCAGCAGUGGGGAAUAUUGGACAAUGGGCGCAAGCCUGAUCCAGCAAUACCGCGUGGGUGAAGAAGGCGUUCGGGUUGUAAAGCCCUUUUGUUGGGAAAGAAAAGCAGCAGGUUAAUACCCCGCUGUUCUGACGGUACCCAAAGAAUAAGCACCGGCUAACUUCGUG
rnacentral:rRNA from 1 species